GUAAAGUUUGGUGAAAGGUGUUCA
rnacentral:piRNA from 1 species